AGAUUAGAUCGUACAACCUCUCUCUCUCCCGAGAGCAACAGGAGCUUGACCGGCCGGCCUCCGUCCAACUCCGGCGACCGUCAACUCCGGCCACCGGAUCUGCUUCCCCACCAGCCUCCGCCCAACUCGGGCGACCGUCAACUUCAGCGAGGCAGUUUUGCGGUGAGGUGUGUCUGUCCUGGCCAUCGACGGGUCCGAUGACGACGACAAGGUAGUGGGUUCACCGGCUGGCGCUGGAUCCGGCGUCCACGACGCCGCUUGGCGGCCUCCUCGUCCAUCCCGUCCCCGGCGUGACCAGCUCGUGAGCACGGGCACCACGACGGGUCAUCGCCAGAUCCGGCGACUCCAAGCCUGACCGCCACCGGAUUUCAUCGUCGGCCUCCCCUGCUACUUCAGUUUCAAAUAUUUGUUGAACAUUCUUUGUUUCUUUACCAGAUCGUCGGCCUCCCCUGCUACUUCAUUUUCAGAUAUUUGCAACUUGAUUUGAACAUUCUUUGUUUGUGACAGAGAGCAUGGGGUAUAGUUUUUUUAAAGAGACUGAGAUCUAUGAAAUUACUUCUCUGAAAAUAUGUAAUUACUUCCCUGUAAUAUAUUUGAAUGUGGUGUUGCAAGUUCUGAAACAAAUUUAUGUGAAAUGAUUUCUGGAAUAUAUGUGAAUUUAUAUUUCAA